CCUCCUGUGACGCAAAGGGUCCGUGAGUCUGGCUGUUAACCAGAAGGUUGGUGGUUCGAGCCCACCCACGGGUGGC